rnacentral:rRNA from 1 species
UACGAAGGGGGCUAGCGUUGCUCGGAAUCACUGGGCGUAAAGGGUGCGUAGGCGGGUCUUUAAGUCAGGGGUGAAAUCCUGGAGCUCAACUCCGGAACUGCCUUUGAUACUGAAGAUCUUGAGUUCGGGAGAGGUGAGUGGAACUGCGAGUGUAGAGGUGAAAUUCGUAGAUAUUCGCAAGAACACCAGUGGCGAAGGCGGCUCACUGGCCCGGUACUGACGCUGAGGUGCGAAAGCGUGGGGAGCAAACAGG